AUGUCUUCCACCCCUCCCCGUCACAGGCGGCAUGCUUUCUACCUUCAACAUCACUUAAAUGGCAAGUGUCCUCCCAACGUGACGCACCUGUCACCUGUAGACUGCUCUGGCGGCACUUUGAAUGACUUGCACCUGAUUCCAGCAAGCCCCCAACUGUCUCAGGCAAUGGAAGUGGAUGGACUGAAUGACUCCAGCAAACAAGGCUAUUCCCAGGAAACCAAGCGCUUGAAGCGGACCCCACCUCCAGACCCUGUAGGCCUAGAGAUGGAGCACAGGUUUAUUGAUCAAGUGCUAUCCACUUGUCGGAAUGUAGAGCAAGCCAGAGCCUUCGUCCAGUAAUUGAUGGAACCAGAUGCAGAGAAUCACAACCAAGCACAGGCUGAGCUCCGGGAAUCCAGUCAAAGAAAGGGAAGAAGGAAUACAUGAGCAAGGGAGGUCAAUCAUGAUGGAGAAAUCUACAGAUACAGCUGAACCAAGUUUGUGGAAACUCAUACACUCUAUACCGACAGCUGCAGAGAUUCCAUGAAACCAAACUAG
rnacentral:lncRNA from 1 species